rnacentral:rRNA from 1 species
UGGGGAAUAUUGCACAAUGGGCGCAAGCCUGAUGCAGCCAUGCCGCGUGUAUGAAGAAGGCCUUCGGGUUGUAAAGUACUUUCAGCGAGGAGGAAGGCGUUGUGGUUAAUAACCGCAACGAUUGACGUUACUCGCAGAAGAAGCACCGGCUAACUCCGUGGCAGCAGCCGCGGUAAUACGGAGGGUGCAAGCGUUAAUCGGAAUUACUGGGCGUAAAGCGCACGCAGGCGGUCUGUCAAGUCGGAUGUGAAAUCCCCGGGCUCAACCUGGGAACUGCAUCCGAAACUGGCAGGCUAGAGUCGUGUAGAGGGGGGUAGAAUUCCAGGUGUAGCGGUGAAAUGCGUAGAGAUCUGGAGGAAUACCGGUGGCGAAGGCGGCCCCCUGGACAAAGACUGACGCUCAGGUGCGAAAGCGUGGGGAGCAAACA